CUUUGGUCUGGCCUGCUGGAGGGAUAUAUGUAGACCGGGGCGUCAGGGCUUCAAGACUUGGCUUGGGUGGCAUAAUGGGUGAAGGAAUUUGAAAUCGACGCUUAGUAGGCGCCGUGGUGGUGCUGCCUGAACUGCUGCAAUACAUUCAACCUUUAAAACUGCAAAAAAGAGGCAGAAAAGCAUGGACGAUGGCAAUGAAGCCGAAUUUAAACGAUAUCAAAGAUACGGCAAAAGGAUGAGAAAGAAAUUGAAGUUUAGAGGUGAUAUGAUGAGAGAGGAAGAAAGAGAAACAGAACUCGGGAAGACAGUCAUCCUAGAGCUGAUGAUCACUAAGAUCGUCCCGCCACAGGAGCAGCCUUGAUAUAGCCACCCCCCUCUGUAAAACAAGGCUUUUUCCAAAUUCAUUUCAAUCGAAAUUCAAUUCAAUUCAAUCGAAUUCCAAAGGUGUGAAAUACACUCCCUGUAGAUAUACGCACUACAUCAUCACUACCCUCUUUUAAAAACAAACAAACAGUCAGAUAUAGCCAGGCGCUACAAGCUACUUUUAAUGCCGAAAAUGCAGUUACAUGGAAAUCAGUUUGUCCUAAGUGCUGCCGCGCUAGAAGUAUUCUUUCGCAACCAUCCUGUUGCUAUUAGCAAUUUAGAGUAGGGCUUUUCUCAAAUUACUUUUUCUUCAUGUUUACCUUCAUUUUGUUGUUGUCGUUAUUGCCAAUUAUUUUGUCCUUUAUUGUGAAGGGUUACACUUGAGUUGGAGCCGUGCUCUGUUGUGUAAACCUUACCGCUAUUUCAAUAUGUGUUAUAGUGGUAGAAGCCUUAUAAAUAAAUAAAUAAAUAAAUAAAUAAAUAAAUAAAUAAAUAAAUAAAUAAAUAAAUAAAUAAAGGAAUCAGAUGGCGAGGAGGGAUACAGGUGAGACCACUUAAGUGGCGCUCUACGGAAGUAAUUAAUUUCUUUAGUGAACUUGAUGGAAGGCGUGGCCAGUUACAGACGCCACAACAGAAGAGACAGACAAACAAAAGAGUGGUAGGGGACAGCAGUGAUCGGACAAGUGAGGCUGUUCCAGAUGAACUAAGAGAGGUAUCUGAGGACUAGAAAGUUGAGUCAAUUAAGUGGCUGUCUCUGUAAGGGCGUUCCACUGAAAUUGGGGAGUCCGUACAACCCCAUCCGAAAAUCAUAUGGCAGAAGCCCCUAUACCUACUUCAGAAAUAAUAUCCGAUUUGGGAUUAGUUUGUUUUUCUUCGCGUUUCCCUGAAUUUUGUCAGACAAGGUGUGGGUGCGAAAACUCGGCGUCCUCGCUCACGGUGUUCGCUCAAUGACAGACCAAAACUACUGCAUCCCAAGGAAAGAUGGGACUCUAAUCUACUCAAUAAAUCCUGAUUUGCUAUAGUUUUUACUUCUAAAGUGGAAAAUAAUCCCCCGACAUUUUAAGAAGGUAAUCGCGGGACUGAUCAAUGAUGAAUAAUUAGCUCCAGAAAAAUUUAAUGUUUAUUUUCUAGGGUUCAAACCAAUUUUUUAUCAUGAAGCUAUAUGAUAAUCGUCACGCAAAUCAAUAUUUAAGUCGCUAUCUCGCCAAAUGAAAUAAAAAUAAAUGUAACGCCGAAUGAAAUAAAAGAUACAUUUACAUAUCUCAGUGCGUAGCGGGGCUUCAAAUACUGUGGGGAACAACCAGAUAAUAUGUUGUAUAUUAGCAUAAAUUAGACACGUGCCUAGAGCUUCACUUCCAUGUGAGAGGUCGGCCAUGUUGGAAUGCCUUCGCACAGGCAUGAAUAAAAGCUUGUUUUGUUAAAUAUUACUCGGCUUCUUCAUAAUAUGAUGCGAUAAAUAUUACUAACUUCCAUACAAAACACCGGCAAACAUUAUGUAACAAUUAGAUUGGUGGCAUAUUUUCAACUGUACUGUGGUUUAUUUUCGAAGACAUACGAUAGUAAAAUUUUCUUGAUUUUAUCCGUACCUUCAAUUUUUUUGGGAAGAGGAACGACCUAGAACCCAGGCCAAGGGCGCUGGGCCACUAUUUCAAAUCUAAUGCCUCACGAUACACACGCAUAAAAGUAUCUUUGGAUUUAUGCGUCCUUCUAUUUCAUUUUGCAAAUCUCAUGAUUAGUGGCAAGUGCACCCGUCAAGUACAUCAUUUAAUAACUGCACGAGUUCCGAUUUGCGAUUAUUUGAACGGAAAGGGACUUCGAAGUAAUCAAGAAUGCGUUUAAGCAUUGCCAUAUCAAAGGAAGAAACUCGCAUAGUAUUCACAAAGGUCGAAAGUGUCAUAGAUGAUAGGGUGCUUGAGGCCCAGCUGAUCGUCAAUCUCUUCCAUGAGCUCUGUAAAUUCACUCUCCCUAUCGGUCAUGUGUUCAUAAUAGCUCUCCUCAUCGGAAAGUCCGCGCCCUCUUCGUUGUUGCGCCGCAAGUCUUGAAAAGAACCCUGCUACUUGCGUUUUCGAAAGCCAUUCCUCUCUUAAGAAAAUCCGCUCAUUCCUGGCGUUACGCAUCUCCUACGAGACUUGUCCCGGGUCUGCUUUGCGCCCAGUUUUUUCUCCCAUCUCAAAUUUUCUCUUCAAGUAAACUCGAACAUUGUCACUUAACCUAGUACUUCCUUUUCUUGUCUUUCCCAAUGCCCAGCCCAUGCCCAACGAUGACGCCCCUCUCUCACCGUUCUCACUCCCACUCCCAUUAACAACUCGGUAAUUUUUUAACAUUAGAAAACAUCCGCGCCUAGUCUCUGCGCACCCCGUCAUAAAAUGUCUCUUUGUGAAUACCGAGAUCCACAUAAAGCUCUUGUUGUCGCAAAUUGUCAUAGCACGCGUUGGUUCCUUCUGGACACUAAUAGGACAGCUCUUCUUCUUCUUCGUUUCCUGGAUAGGUUGGUACGUCUCGCUGUGGAAGCUCUCUCAACUCAUUUGUCGAGAAAAAGGAUAGUUUCUUGGUGUUACGGAGCACCAGCACCAAAAACACAAUAGAACAAAAGCCAAAAAUAAA